rnacentral:rRNA from 1 species
AGAGAUCAUGGCUCAGGAUGAACGCUAGCGGCAGGCCUAAUACAUGCAAGUCGAACGGCCCAGCAAUGGGCAGUGGCGCACGGGUGCGUAACGCGUAUGCAACCUACCUCCCACUGGGGGAUAGCCCCCCGAAAGGGGGAUUAAUACCGCAUAACACAGCUUGAGGGCAUCCGAGGGCUGUUAAAGAUUUAUCGGUGGGAGAUGGGCAUGCGUGCCAUUAGCUAGUUGGUGGUGUAACGGACCACCAAGGCUACGAUGGCUAGGGGUUCUGAGAGGACGGUCCCCCACACUGGCACUGAGAUACGGGCCAGACUCCUACGGGAGGCAGCAGUAGGGAAUAUUGGGCAAUGGGCGGAAGCCUGACCCAGCCAUGCCGCGUGCAGGAUGAAGGCCUUCUGGGUUGUAAACUGCUUUUACCAGGGAAGAAAACACCCAUGCGUGGGGAACUGACGGUACCUGGGGAAUAAGCACCGGCUAACUCCGUGCCAGCAGCCGCGGUAAUACGGAGGGUGCAAGCGUUGUCCGGAUUUAUUGGGUUUAAAGGGUGCGUAGGCGGCCCCUUAAGUCAGUGGUGAAAGCCCGCGGCUCAACCGCGGAACUGCCAUUGAUACUGGGGGGCUUGAGUACAGACGAGGUAGGCGGAAUUGAAGAUGUAGCGGUGAAAUGCUUAGAUAUCUUCAAGAACACCGAUUGCGUAGGCAGCUUACUAGGCUGUAACUGACGCUGAGGUCCGAAAGCGUGGGGGAG